AGAAUGAAUUAGAGCAUAUAUGCCACCAUUCAGAAGACGCCAAAGUCAUAACUCAAUUGGAACAAGAGCUAAGAAGAGCCAGACAAUGCAUGACAGAGUUAGACAAUAGCAUGGAACAAUAGAUUUAGUUGUUGGAUGGGUUUAGAAAUAAGGAGGGAGCUCGAUUAGCGACAGAUCAUCUAUGGACAAACACAUAUGUUAUGUG
rnacentral:misc_RNA from 1 species